UACAGAGGUCCCAAGCGUUGUUCGGAUUCAUUGGGCGUAAAGGGUGUGUAGGUGGCGCCGUAAGUCGGGUGUGAAAUCUCGGGGCUUAACUCCGAAACUGCAUUCGAUACUGCGGUGCUUGAGGACUGGAGAGGAGGACUGGAAUUCAUGGUGUAGCAGUGAAAAUGCGUAGAGAUCAUGGAGGAAGACCAGUGGCGAAGGCGGGUCUCUGGACAGUUCCUGACACUGAGACACGA
rnacentral:rRNA from 1 species